rnacentral:rRNA from 1 species
AAUCAACGCUGGCGGCGUGCCUAACACAUGCAAGUCGAGCGAGAAAGUGGAGCAAUCCAUGAGUAAAGCGGCGACCGGGUGAGUAACACGUGACUAACCUACCUUCGAGUGGGGAAUAACUCCGGGAAACCGGGGCUAAUACCGCAUAACAUCGAAAGAUCAAAGCAGCAAUGCGCUUGAAGAGGGGGUCGCGGCUGAUCAGCUAGUUGGCGGGGUAAUGGCCCACCAAGGCGAAGAUCGGUAUCCGGCCUGAGAGGGCGCACGGACACACUGGAACUGAAACACGGUCCAGACUCCUACGGGAGGCAGCAGUGGGGAAUUUUGCGCAAUGGGGGAAACCCUGACGCAGCAACGCCGCGUGGAGGAUGAAGCCCCUUGGGGCGUAAACUCCUUUCGACCAAGACGAUAAUGACGGUACUGGUGGAAGAAGCACCGGCUAACUCUGUGCCAGCAGCCGCGGU